CCUACGGGAGGCAGUAGUGAGGAAUAUUGGUCAAUGGACGAGAGUCUGAACCAGCCAAGUAGCGUGAAGGAUGACUGCCCUAUGGGUUGUAAACUUCUUUUAUAUGGGAAUAAAAUGUUCCACGUGUGGGAUUUUGUAUGUACCAUAUGAAUAAGGAUCGGCUAACUCCGUGCCAGCAGCCGCGGUAAUACGGAGGAUCCGAGCGUUAUCCGGAUUUAUUGGGUUUAAAGGGAGCGUAGGUGGAUUGUUAAGUCAGUUGUGAAAGUUUGCGGCUCAACCGUAAAAUUGCAGUUGAAACUGGCAGGCUUGAGUACAGUAGAGGUGGGCGGAAUUCGUGGUGUAGCGGUGAAAUGCUUAGAUAGCACGAAGAACUCCGAUUGCGAAGGCAGCUCACUGGACUGCAACUGACACUGAGGCUCGAAAGUGUGGGUAUCAAACAGGAUUAGAUACCCCAGUAGUC
rnacentral:rRNA from 1 species